UGCACACGGACAAUGGCCAAUCUGCAUGCA
rnacentral:piRNA from 1 species